ACACACACACUAACACACAUACACACACACUAAAACACAUACACAAACACACACACUAACACACAUACACUAACACACAAACACACACACUAACACACAUACACUAACACACACAAACACACACAUACAUACACUAACACACAGAUACACUAACACACAAACACACACACUAACACACAUACACUAACACACACACACACAC